rnacentral:piRNA from 1 species
UGGCUUCCUUUGGCUUUGUUUCGGGU